GAGAGAGGCUAAAGCAGUAAGGACUGCUAAUCCCUACGUCCAUGGUUAA
rnacentral:tRNA from 1 species